rnacentral:rRNA from 1 species
AUUGAACGCUAGCGGGAUGCCUUACACAUGCAAGUCGAACGGAGUGGCGAACGGGUGAGUAAUGUAUCGGAACGUGCCCAGUAGCGGGGGAUAACUACGCGAAAGCGUAGCUAAUACCGCAUACUAUUGGAGCGGCCGAUAUCGGAUUAGCUAGUUGGUGGGGUAACGGCUCACCAGGGCGACGAUCCGUAGCUGGUUUGAGAGGACGACCAGCCACACUGGGAGUGGAACAGGGCCCAAACUCCUACGGGAGGCAGGAGGGGGGAAUUUUGGACAAGGGGGGAAACCCUGAUCAAGCCAUCCCGGGUGGGCGAUGAAGGCCUUCGGGUUGUAAAGAACUUUUGGCAGGAAAGCGGUACCUGAAGAAUAAGCACCGGCUAACUACGUGCCAGCAGCGGCGGUAAUA